UACGAGGGGAGCAAGCGUUGUUCGGAUUUACUGGGCGUAAAGGGCGCGUAGGCGGUCGUGACAAGUCACUUGUGAAAUCUCCGGGCUUAACUCGGAACGGUCAAGUGAUACUGUCGGACUAGAGUACAGAAGGGGCAACUGGAAUUCUCGGUGUAGCGGUGAAAUGCGUAGAUAUCGAGAGGAACACCUGCGGCGAAGGCGGGUUGCUAGGCUGAUACUGACGCUGAUGCGCGAAAGCCAGGGGAGCGAACGGG
rnacentral:rRNA from 1 species